UACGUAGGGGGCAAGCGUUAUCCGGAAUUAUUGGGCGUAAAGAGUGCGUAGGUGGUUACCUAAGCGCAAGGUUUAAUCUUGAGGCUCAACCUCAUUCUGCCUUGCGAACUGGGCUACUUGAGUGCUGGAGGGGAAAGCGGAAUUCCCAGUGUAGCGGUGAAAUGCGUAGAUAUUGGGAAGAACACCGGUGGCGAAGGCGGCUUUCUGGACAGCAACUGACACUGAGGCACGAAAGCGUGGGGAGCAAACAGGAUUAGAUACCCUGGUAGUCCCU
rnacentral:rRNA from 1 species